rnacentral:rRNA from 1 species
AUUGAACGCUGGCGGCAUGCCUUACACAUGCAAGUCGAACGGCAGCGGGGGAGAAGCUUGCCUUUCCUGCCGGCGAGUGGCGAACGGGUGAGUAAUACAUCGGAACGUGCCCUGUAGUGGGGGAUAACUAGUCGAAAGAUUAGCUAAUACCGCAUACGACCUGAGGGUGAAAGUGGGGGACCGCAAGGCCUCAUGCUAUAGGAGCGGCCGAUGUCUGAUUAGCUAGUUGGUGGGGUAAAGGCCUACCAAGGCGACGAUCAGUAGCUGGUCUGAGAGGACGAUCAGCAAAACUGGGACUGAGAUGCGGCCCAGACUCCUACGGGAGGCAGGAGUGGGGAAUUUUGGACAAUGGGCGAAAGCCUGAUCCAGCAAUGCCGCGUGUGUGAAGAAGGCCUUCGGGUUGUAAAGCACUUUUGUCCGGAAAGAAAUGGCUCUGGUUAAUACCUGGGGUCGAUGACGGUACCGGAAGAAUAAGGACCGGCUAACUACGUGCCAGCAGCCGCCGUAA